rnacentral:rRNA from 1 species
UACGUAGGGUGCAAGCGUUGUCCGGAAUUAUUGGGCGUAAAGAGCUCGUAGGUGGCCUGUCGCGUCGGCUGUGAAACUCGGGGCUCAACUCCGAGCUUGCAGUCGAUACGGGCAGGCUAGAGUUCGGCAGGGGGAGACUGGAAUUCCUGGUGUAGCGGUGAAAUGCGCAGAUAUCAGGAGGAACACCGGUGGCGAAGGCGGGUCUCUGGGCAGUAACUGACGCUGAGGAGCGAAAGCAUGGGGAGCGAACAGG